rnacentral:rRNA from 1 species
UACGUAGGGUGCAAGCGUUAAUCGGAAUUACUGGGCGUAAAGCGUGCGCAGGCGGUUUGGUAAGACAGAUGUGAAAUCCCCGGGCUCAACCUGGGAAUUGCAUUUGUGACUGCCCGGCUAGAGUGUGUCAGAGGGGGGUAGAAUUCCACGUGUAGCAGUGAAAUGCGUAGAUAUGUGGAGGAAUACCGAUGGCGAAGGCAGCCCCCUGGGAUAACACUGACGCUCAUGCACGAAAGCGUGGGGAGCAAACAGG